rnacentral:misc_RNA from 1 species
CGCACAUUGCGCCCGCCAGUAUUCUGGCGGGCAUGCCUGUCUGAGCGUCAUUUCAACCCUCAUGCCCCCGGGCGUGGUGUUGGGGAUCGGCCUGCAGCCCUCGGGCGGCGGCCGGCCCCUAAAUCUAGUGGCGGACCCGUCGUGGCCUCCUCUGCGAAGUAGUGAUACCCGCACCGGAAAGCGACGAGCCCCUGCCGUAAAACCCCAACUCUUUACAGGUUGACCUCAGAUCAGGUAGGAAUACCCGCUGAACUUAA